rnacentral:siRNA from 1 species
UCUAUUAGGGGUGUCAAAAUG